rnacentral:rRNA from 1 species
AACGAACGCUGGCGGCAUGCCUAACACAUGCAAGUCGAACGAGACCUUCGGGUCUAGUGGCGCACGGGUGCGUAACGCGUGGGAAUCUGCCCCUCGGUUCGGAAUAACACAGAGAAAUUUGUGCUAAUACCGGAUAAUGACGAAAGUCCAAAGAUUUAUCGCCGAGGGAUGAGCCCGCGUAAGAUUAGCUAGUUGGUGGGGUAAUGGCCUACCAAGGCGACGAUCUUUAGCUGGUCUGAGAGGAUGAUCAGCCACACUGGGACUGAGACACGGCCCAGACUCCUACGGGAGGCAGCAGUGGGGAAUAUUGGACAAUGGGCGAAAGCCUGAUCCAGCAAUGCCGCGUGAGUGAUGAAGGCCUUAGGGUUGUAAAGCUCUUUUACCAGGGAUGAUAAUGACAGUACCUGGAGAAUAAGCUCCGGCUAACUCCGUGCCAGCAGCCGCGGUAAGUCUCGCGUGA